GUCUAUUCCUUUUCCUCAGGUGGGACCGUUCUGUUGUCGACUGGUGGUCUAUUCCUUUUCCUCAGGUGGGAACCGUUCUGUUGUCGACUGGUGGUCUAUUCCUUUUCCUCAGGUGGGACCGUUCUGUUGUCGACUGGUGGUCUAUUCCUUUUCCUCAGGUGGAACCGUUCUGUUGUCGACUGGUGGUCUAUUCCUUUUCCUCAGGUGGGAACCG